UACGGGGGGGGGCAAGCGUUGUCCGGAAUCAUUGGGCGUAAAGCGCGCGUAGGCGGCCCGGUAAGUCCGCUGUGAAAGUCAAAGGCUCAACCUUUGAAUGUCAGCGGAUACUGCCGGGCUAGAGUCCGGAAGAGGCGAGUGGAAUUCCUGGUGUAGCGGUGAAAUGCGUAGAUAUCUGGAGGAACACCGGUGGCGAAGGCGGCACUC
rnacentral:rRNA from 1 species